rnacentral:sRNA from 1 species
GUAGCAUACGACAAUAAUGGAAAAGUGAUUGGAUUUGGAAAUGUGAUCAUCUAUCCAUCUGGUGAAUGUGUAUUGACUCCACUAUAUGCUGAUGAUAGUAAAGUGGCUCAGGCAAUAUUCAAAAGCAUUUUAAAAGAAAUUCCACUCAAUGACAAGAAGCUUUUGAGAUUCCAAAUAAGAUCAAUCGAUCAAUGUGAAGGAGGAUUUGAGUUAGUUUUUGUUUUAUGAUAUCUCAAUUUUCAUUUUAUUUUUAGAUGGAUUCAACCCUUUGUUAAAAACCCAAUAAGAAAGGAAAUCAUGGGAUACAUGGCUGGUUCUUCUCAUCCUCCAACCGUCAAUUACAAGAAAACUUAUGCGAACACGCCGUACACGACCUGCGUAAUUUGAGCGGAAAACGAUUGAUCUGGAGAUAUUGUAUGAGUCCGAUAAAACGAUUUGAACAAAACCCAUUAAGAAUUUAUUUUUGAUUUUUGUGGAGAUCAGACAAAGUCCAGGAAACGCAUUAAAUAAGCUUUGUGCUCUUUAGAAAAUUGAUCCUAUCAAAGACGGACUGAGUCAAAAUUUAUCAGUGAAACAAAGAUUUCGGAAACGUACACGAGGAGAGUCAUCAUUCACGUGUUGGGUAGAAAACCAAAUUGAGAUGUGAAUCCUGUGUAGGUGCAUGAUUAAAGACAACAGACAAGGCCUGAUCGCUAUAGAAACUUUUUGAAAAGAUGGUCUCAUCCAAACUUGUUUAUUUUAAGCAAAAACCAGGAAGCAAUCAAAAUGAACGUUUUAGAUGGCAAUUAUGUAGGUCAAAAAGAAUCACAAAAAAAGUAAACGGGUAUUAAAUAAUUGCGUGUUCGAAAAAUUGAUCUAAAUAUAUAAUACAAACCAUAGUCUCAAUUGAUUAAUUUUUAAAACUGUUUCUAACGUGACAUGUAGAACCUUCGGAGACCUUACGUGUUCGACUAACCUUUAACAGUUCCAAUUUCUGUUCAAUUAAAAAAACUAGAUUUGCAAAAAUCUACUUAAAUGCUCUCUAAAUCCCUAGCCAUUGGCCGUAAGCUCACGAAGAUUUCUUCAUCAGUGAAGUCAAUCAGUUCCAUCACAUUCAAGACUGUUGAUGGAAAACCAAGAGAUGCACUGACAAUUCAUAAUGUAGAUUUUGUAAUUGAUCCUGAUGAGAAGAUGGUUGAUGAGUACAUGAAAGUGGUAAGACAUUUUCAAGUUGCACAAGUGCAGUUAAAUAUAAUGUUUCAGUACGGAAAUCAGCGGUUGAACUUCAAGAGGAAUGAUAUUGAUAUUUGGAGAAAAUCUUUCAAAGAUAGUUACUCUCUGUGGCUUGUAUGUCUGAAAGGAACUAACAAGAUAGUCCAAAUGUCACAUGUAUUGAAUUUCCCACCAUUGCCUUCUCACAAUGAUAUUCUCCAUCAGUAUCAUGGAUUUUUCUGGAUUGAUCCCGAUUAUCGUGGAAAGGAUAGUAUGGAAAUUAUGGACUACAUAGAAAAACUCAGAGCUCGAAAUCAAUCGGAUAAUAAUGUCGGCACGUAUUUGCCACCAGCGGCUAACAUGAUCAAAAAAAUAUAUGGAACUAAUAAUUACCAGCAUAUCAUGUACGUUUCCUAUUACAAGCCAGAUGAGAUGCAGAUUCCUGAAGACUUGAAUCUUGAUGGAAUAUUCCUUAAAAAUGCAACGGAGGUACCAGAUAUGGAUAUUGUGAAAUAUGAUAACACUGUGUUUCCAUAUGAAAGAUCCAAGUACAUGUUAAAUCUUCUUAGAGAUCCUGAAGGUUUUGGAAAGGUUUGUUUCAAAAGUUGAGUUUUAUCAAUUGAACAUCUUUAGGUAGCAUACGACAAUAAUGGAAAAGUGAUUGGAUUUGGAAAUGUGAUCAUCUAUCCAUCUGGUGAAUGUGUAUUGACUCCACUAUAUGCUGAUGAUAGUAAAGUGGCUCAGGCGAUAUUCAAAAGCAUUUUAAAAGAAAUUCCACUCAAUGGCAAGAAGGAACAUAGAUUCCAAAUUAGAUCAAUCGAUCAAUGUGACGGGGGAUUUGAGUAUAAAUCAGUAUUAUGACAUCUCAAUUAGAAUUGCUUUUUAGAUGGAUCCAGCCCUUUGUCAGAAGACCGAUAAGAAAGGAAAUCAUGGGAUACAUGUGUGGCAUUCCUCAUCAUCCGACCGUCAACUACAAGAAAACUUAUUCAAAUACACCAUAUACCACCUGCGCAAUUUGAUACAAGUGAUAAAACUAUUUUUUAAUUCUUUACAAUUUUUGUUGCCUUUUUUGCUGAGAGCAGACAUAGUUUCUCCAAGAAACACACUGAAGAAAGUGAGCAGAAGUGAAUUGUAUCUUUAAAGACUGGGAUUUUUGUCUAUGUUCUUCAGAAAAUUAAUCCCAUGUAAGAUUGGCAGAUAUCCGAGACAAGAUAGAAGUGAUACGUGGACUCAGGGUUCGUGCACGAGAAAAGUCAGUAUUCAUCCGAUAUGAAAACCGAAAUGAACUGGAUCCUGCACGACAAAACCAAGAAAGACUGAACAGAAAAUGUGUGCAGAAACGUGUUCCAAAGAUGGUCUUACUCGAACAUGCAUAUUUGAAUCGAAAACUAGGAAGCAAUCAAAAUGAACAAGUGCAACUAGAUCAAAAAUAAUCACUGAAAAAUUGAACGGAUAACAGAGAAUUGCUUGAUCCAAAAACGUUUUUUGAACGAUACAAUACCAACAAAUCAUAUGCAGCCAGUUCCAAGUGAUUAGUGUUUAGAAUGUUUAUAAGAUUUUGAGAUUUUAGAAUAGUUUCCCACGUGUAGAACCUUCGAAGACCUUGCGUGUUCGGUUAACCUUUUUUAUUUUACUUUUAUGUUUUCGAUUUUUCCGAUUAAUUCAUAAAACUAGACUUGCCCAAUUCGACUUGAAUGCUCUUCAAAUCUCUUGGCCGCCAUCUCACGAAAGUUUCUUCGAAUAGUGCCAGUUCACUCAGGACAAUCAAGUACAAAACUGUGGAUGGAAAACCAAGAGAUACACUUACACUUCAAAAUGUUGAUUUUAUAAUCAAUCCUGAUGAGAAAAUGAUUGAUGAGUAUAUGAAAGUGGUAAGUCAUUUUCAGGAGUUGCGAGAAGUCUGGCAUAAAGACUACAUUGAGAAGUUGAAAAUGUUCAUUUGUUUUAAUUUAAUCAUAUAUGAGCUCAGAUGCAUUUCAGUACGGAAAUCAACGUUUGAACUUCAAAAGAAACGACAUUUCAAUGUGGAUGAAGUCAUUUGAAGGCCGUUAUGCUCUGUGGUUUACUUGCCCAAAGGGAACUAACAAAAUAAUUCAAACAUCCCACGUCAUCACCUUCCCACCGAUACCAUCAAACAAUGACACAAAUCAUCAAUAUCGUGGAAUGUUUUGGAUUGAUGCAGAUUAUCGUGGAGUUGAUAGCAUGAUAUUGACUGAUUAUAUUGAGAAGCUCAGAAUUCGUAAUCAAUCAGAUAAUGCUGUUGCUCAAUGCAUGCCUACUUCGAUGAACUUAUGGAAGAAAAUGCAUGGACAAAAUGAUGCUGGACAUAUUCAGAAUGUUUCAUAUUACAAGCCAGAUGAGAUGCAGGUUCCUGACGACUUGAAUCUUGAUGGAAUAUUCCUUAAAAAUGCAACGGAGGCACCAAAUAUGUAUAUUGUGAAACUGUUAAAUCUUCUUAGAGAUCCUGAAGGUUUUGGAAAGG